GGCUCCACCCAACAGGAAGUCAGCUAUUUAGAGUUAUGUAAAAAGCGCAUGCUCUGGAAUUUGAAAUACUUGUCAUAGGUUUUUUUCUCGAUUGCCGCCAAACUCGGUCAACAUGAUCUCAAGACACUGGGGAUGAAAAAUUGCCAGGGGAUUUUUGAUAUCUCGAACGGUUUGCUCGUGGCGAGGCGUUGAAAUUAUGGCGAGAAAUUAGAAACAGGAAGUGUCUAAUACCAUCCACAUACAUUUCCUGAUUUUAAUCAAACUUCAUCAGAUUAUUCGUUGUAUAAUGUCGAUCGCAUAUAUGUGACUAUUAGGAGUCAAAGUUAUAGCGCCACCAACUGGCAGAAGGAAGUGUGUCAUUUUCAAAAUGAUUUGAAUUCAGCAUCUUAUUAUUACUCGAUUUGCUUCAAACUUCAUCAGAAUAAUGUUAAAACACAGCUGAUAUAAAUCUGCAAGGGGGAUAUUGAUAUCUAAAAAAUUGUUGCCGUGGCAACAUGUCAAACUGGAAUACUUCUCAGGUGAUUUUGAGGCAUAUAACAUGCUUAGAAUUUCAUCAAACUCAGAACACAUAUCAGUAUUAGUGACAGCUAGACACUGGCAAAAGUUCAUAAGAGGGCGUGGAAGAGGCACUCUAUAGCGCCACCUUUUGUCAAAAGUGAGGGGGUUAGUUUUAGCUACAGACACCAAACUCAGUACAAAAAUUGUUCUUAUCAAGACGGACAACUUUCUAAUUCACAGUCAUCAGCUACGACCAACACGAAGUCGGCUAUUUUGAUUUGAAUGUGGAUUGUUUUUUACAUUUAGCUGUGAAUUAAUGCAUACUGCUCAGAGGAGAGUAACACUAUACACACCAAACUUGGUGUACAUGUUGAAAAAACAUUGAGGAACUUAAAUUGUGAAUGGGUUUUGGAUAGCUUGGAUGGUUUUGUCGUGGUGAUUUUUUUAAAUGACAAUAAAGAUGGAACUAUUAA